GGGCCCACCAUGUCAGCGCCGCCGCCGCCGCCGUUUCUGUCCUAUUCUGCUCUUCCUGCCGAUCUGUGCGCCGCCUCUUCUUCAUCCCGUCCCUAGCAGCCGAUCCCAACUCCCGAUCUUCGGUUCGUUUGAGGCCCGUGAGGGUCUCCUAGGACCGACUGCUCAAGGGAUUGGAGUCACCGUUUUUUUUUUCUUUUGAGAAAGUGCAAAGCAUUAGAGAAACGUUGCCGUUGGUCUAGAUGACGACGAGAUGAUUGCGCUGCUCCAGAACUGCAAGCAACCUCAGAAGCCUUUGACUCUGCGCCAACCAGACUGACUGAUGAAAGGCUCAAGGCCCCUGGUCUCAACUGCCCUAUGCUUGAGGUUGUUGAGCUGACCUUUACGUUUUGUUCGAGUGUGUAUCCCACUGAAAUAAGGUUUCACACAGAAAGGUAUGGUAUAGUCGCACUCAUUCAGACCUGCCUAGUCCGUGCUUUCAUGCUGGACGGAGUGUACAUCUUUUAUGACUCGGGGUUGGAGGGUAUUUCGUCAGCGCCAUUCCUGGAGAGGCUCAAGCUUUUGGAUCGCAAGAGGAUAACAGGUGCUGGGGUGAGUUUCGUUGCCCCGCGCUUGAGUAGUCUCACUAUCUCCGGGGAAGGUGUUCAGGGGCCUGCCACUGACAUCAUGUUUGGGAACACGGUAUACCGUAAUAUUUGAGCAUACCAUAGUAUUUUAUACCAAAAGACGUUUGGGAGCACAUACAAGAACUCUAUAUUUUAAAUUAUGGUUUUGCCAAUACCACGGUAUUUUUAGGAUCAAGAAAACUUUGGUUUGCACGCAGCUACAGUCUUUUUUCUCUCCUACACUAUAACUAAAAUACUAUGUCUCUAAACAGUUAUUGGAUUGGAAUGAUGUAAAGUAUACUAUAAUUAUGUUAUGACAUACUUUAAACCAUGUUAUUAUAAACUAUGGUUUUGUGAAA